rnacentral:rRNA from 1 species
CCUACGGGUGGCUGCAGUAGGGAAUAUUGCUCAAUGGGGGAAACCCUGAAGCAGCAACGCCGCGUGAAGGAUGAAGGUUUUCGGAUUUUAAACUCCUUUUGUUAGAGAAGAUAAUGACGGUAUCUAACGAAUAAGCACCGUCUAACUCCGUGCCAGCAGCGGCGGUAAUACGGAGGGUGCAAGCGUUACUCGGACUCACUGGGCGUAAAGAGCGCGUAGACGGGUUAGCAAGUCAGAUGUGAAAUCCUAUGGCUUAACCAUAGAACUGCAUUUGAAACUGUUAGUCUAGAGUAUGGGAGAGGUAGGCGGAAUUCGUGGUGUAGGGGUAAAAUCCGUAGAGAUCAAGAGGAACACUCAUUGCGAAGGCGACCUGCUAGAACACCACUGACGCUGAUGCGCGAAAGCGUGGGGAGCAAACAGGAUUAGAUACCCGGGUAGUC